GUCACAUACCGCUGGGGCCCGGCUCACACCCUGAUGGUAACAAAAGGCGAAGAUACGCAUAAAAUUCACUGCAUACAAGAGGCACCGAUGAUCCUGGGGCUGCUCGGCCUCCCCCCGAACGCAUUGACCCAGCCAGCACCUAAGGACAGACCUCGGAACCCCCCAAGUUGGGAAACAGCUAGCGCUGCUGAAUUUGUCCCCAGACGACAGAAAGAAUCACCCACCGUCGCUGCCACGACCUGAAGGUCAAUUCUGGACUGAGUGAGUUACCGGGACAUUGCCCCACCAUCAGGCAUAUUAUGCAUAGGGACGGCCAUGCACAACCCAAACCCACACUACUGAACAACCCAAUCGUUUACACCCCAUCAUUAUGUUUAGCACUAUGACUUCAACUGUUUCCCCUUUCCUUGUUAUUUUCUCUCGAACACCAUAGUGAGCUUGUAGUUCACACCAACCAGUUAAAUCUGAUGCCAGAAAUGUUCACUCACCUCUUAGUACACUCGAUAUUACCUUGCCAAAUUAUAACAAUAUACAUUGUUUUAUUCCUGAUACGACACUGUUUGUGCCCAUAGACCUGUGGUCGCGAAUGAGGCACUAUGGAAUUAUAUGUACUAUGCAUAGCAUAACAAAAACUAACUUUUAAGGGAGGGAAAAGAUAGGUUAUCAAAGGAGAAGAGGAGGAGGGGAAAGGGGAGGAAUAAUCUAGGUGUUAAGGUGUAUUGGACUGCUCACACCCGAGUUCUGUUGUCUUCCUAGUUUAUCGUAUUUUAUUACACUUUUUCAUCACCUAGUACUUCGACCAUCAAACGUAGUCUCUGGUACAAACUCGCAUAUUAAUCACUAUUUAUGUUAAGCUUGAUCUCCCCGCUGACAUAACCAUAAGAAAUGAACGCUGAGUAUCCACCUCAGCAUCCUUACGGGUGAUUCUUCUGUGUAUAACUUAACCAGAGACCGCUUAGGUCAAAAAAUGCCAGAUUGUUUAUUUCCCUUUAUUUUUUAAUGCUAACGUGGACAUGGUAUGUCCCUCUUUGUUUGGUGGUAUAUUACUUUCCUUAUAUAUUUACCUUUAACAUUUAACCUAAUUUUCAUUUAAUUGCACUUAACCUAGCCAAACUUUAUUAUUUUCUAUCAAGUCAGUAAGUCAACCAGUAUUAACACCUGUACUUAUAGCCUUAACUGA